GUUUUCUGCUCCUUAUGAGAAUCUAAGGCCUGAUGAUCUGAGGUGCUGGCAACACAUGACCUGGUGGGCAUUGCUGGCUUGCUCCAGAGACUUAAUCCCUGUAAACUGCUGCUCACCUGGGCACAUGGCUAUGACUAAAUCGCCCCUCUGACGCACUAAUGAAUGGAAACAGCAGAAUCAUCACUCUCUUCCUUUCAAAAAUGAGGCAAGCCUAGACACAAGCAGAGAAUACUGACACCCUGAAGAUUAAAUACAAUGUCCACCUAUUUCCCAAUUAAGGUGACCACUCACAAAAUAGAACCACAGCAGCCCCAGACCUGGCCUCUCAGGCAAGCGGGGCUGACCCUCCCACCCCGCUCUCCCUGCUGCCCCUCAUCUCUCGGAAACUGUACAUUUCCAUCAAGCUGGAGACCUCUCUUCUCUCCUGAUGGUGUCAUCAAGUGCUAUAAUGUACACGUAUCGUAUUUGCCAGGGAUCGCUUAGCAACAGAACCCUGUGUUCUGCCAAUUUGCUUUUCAUGCUGACAACCUAGAUUUCACAGAAGUUGUGUUUUCUAGAAGGCUUUACAGACCGGAAAGGGUGACAAAGGGAUGUCUCAUCGCAGAUGCAGACAGAGACUGGCCCUGGCCGCCCCUGUUUAUGAUUUCUGGGGAUAUUUUAGAUGCUAUAAUGGCACACUAUUCAAAAACAAUUUAUUUUUAAUCUCCGGCUAUUAAUCACAGUAGAUUGACGUCAGUUAGCUCAUAAAGCUGAGGAUAUAAAGUGCUGUAUUUGUGAAGAAAUAUCAACUUGAUUUUAGCCACAAACAUUAAAAGCUAGCAUAAAACUAAUAUAUUGCCAAUGGGGUGUUCAUAGUGCAUUAGCGAUGUCUGCUCACCUUGCAAAAAAUGUUAUUUUAUUGGAGAAACAUUCAUUUUGAGAACUUAGACUUUUCCUGUGGGGUAAAGGGGACAGCAUAGAAUCUGAGGUGAUUUUAUCUUUGUCCUUCCACUUGUCUUUACUCAUGCUGUGUGGGGAGAGGAGGCAAAUAAU
rnacentral:lncRNA from 1 species